rnacentral:lncRNA from 1 species
UAAUUUUGAGUGCACAGUUUAAACAUUUUUUGAUACACGUUGAACAAUUUUCAAAUACACAAUGUACAUAUUCUUUUAGUAAUGUUUUGAAUACUCUUUGGAAUACAUGUUUAACAUUUUUUUGAAUAUACGCUGAAAUUUUUUAUGGUAUUAAAUAUAUUUUUAAAACUACGCGGACAUCGUUUUAUAUUGCAUAUGCAUUUUUUAAAUGUUUUCAGUACAUAAUACAUUUUUAGAGCACACACGAGACAAUUUUUGUGAUACAUGUUGGACAUUUUUCAAAUAUACAAUGUACCUUUUAUUUUAGUACAUGUUUUGAAAACUUUGUUGAAUACAUGGUCAACAUUUUUUCCAAAUAUAGGCAGGACAAUUUUAUAGUACUAAAUAUAUUUUUAAAACUACACAAACAAUUGUUUUAUAUUGUAUAAACUUUUUUUUAAUGUUUUCAGUACACAACAUAUUUUAAGAGCACACACAAAACAAUUUUUAUCAUACACGUUGGACAUUUUUUCAAAUAGACAAUGCACAUUUUUCUUUAAGUACAUGUUUUGAACACUAUUUUUAGGGCGUCUGCUAGGCGUCAUCCGGUUGAUUACCGAGUAAAAUCAUCCGCCUUGUUCGCCCUACGAUCUGUGGGAAUCAAACCGCUCAGAUUCACACGGGUGCUGAAGCAUAGGCUUCUCACACAUUACGUGGGCGCUGGGACCACAAGGCUGGUUAUACAUGUCGUUACUCAUUUCCAUGACCCAGCCAGCUACUACUAAGACGACUACGUAGUCAACGUAGAAAAGCCUCCCAUUCCGUUCGGCUACUGGUCGUCCACUAGUAUCCAUGUGGCCUAGUUCUUGCAUCCAUAUUUAAUGCUUUGGAUUGGAAGUCAAACGACAGUCGUGGCUGCAGCAACACAAGCUGCUGCGUGUUCGUGUUGCGACCAUGGCCUGACCAUCUCGACGACCAAGGUGAUGCUACGAGGUGUGUCGGACGUGUUUGGUUGCGUGCAUGAGGCCCAACCAGGCCCGCGCAGGAAGGAAACAGGCUGUUUGGUUGACUACAUACACUGUUAUCUUGCAUAGCACAGAAUUUAAAGUAUCUUUGGACUUGGCUCGCUGUAAACACUCAGAUCGGCAGUUUUGCGAGCCAGGCCGAGGCGAGCGCAAGCGAGCUGGUUCUUGCACGAGUGGAGACGGGAGGGUUGCGAGGUGAUUAAGUGAGGUCUUCUUCAACCUCCAAUAAGCUUCUCUCUAAUCUCCUCUCUUCCUUGUCCCUCUGAUCUACAUAACGGUGCUUCGAUUCGAGGUAAGCUCUACACGAAAAAGAUACACCUCAAUGCUACGGUUCCAUUCAGACGAUCGGUUCGUAGUUUCGUCGGCCGGAAGUUCUUUAUUUCGUCGGCCGGAAGCUCUGGACGAACUUUGUCAGAUCCUUCGCGCACGAUCGAUCGUUUGAAUUUUUCUUUGACCAUCAGCCUAAUCUCCCAGUUCCGCACAAUAUUCGUGUUCUAAGUUUUUGGUUUCGAUGAACGUAGCUUCAUCUCUCCUUGAACAGCAGUCUAGUGCACUCACGCCGCCAUGUCGAGCUCCUGUGUCCUCUGCUCAGAGCCCUCCUAUUUGUCCCUCUCGACGCCGACGCCCUUCCGCUUGAUCUCCUUGCCCGCGUCCUACUACACUAGAGUCGUUUUCGGCGUCGCUCAUCUCGGCCUACUCUCUGUCGUCCUCCUACUGCACUGACGCUGCAAUGGCGCGCACACUAAUUUCUUGUGUCCUCUGCCUCCAUGCACACUGCAGUUCGCCACGCCGCCGAUGGGGUCGAUCAUCUCGGCCUCCUCUCUCUCGUCCGACUACACUAGAGUCAUUUCUGGCGUCGAUCAUCUCGGCCUCCUCUCUCGUCCUACUGCACGUACGAUACCAUGACGCGAGCACUACAUUCUUCUCAUGUGUCCACUGUCUUUGCGCGAGCACUGUAACUAGUUCGCCGACGGUGUCGCUCGCCAUGCCGCCGACGGGGUCGCUCGCCCACGACUACAUGCUCGUCAUGUCGGACACGAUGCCACGGUCACUAUCCACUGCAGUCGCCAUGGUCCGCGCACACUGCAUUUCUUCUCCCCCUUCCUCUGCUAGCUCUUAACCCUGUGUGCUAAGUGCAAGUGCUAGCUCUUAAUCAUACCCCAUGCGGGCAACCAAACAACGUGUAGUUGUAUGCGCCAAGACAAUGCAGGCAACCAAACAAUGUGCCAAAAUUGACCCCCUAAUGCAGGAAGUCCAUAUGCAGGCAACCAAACAACUUGUAGAUAUCGCAUAUGAUGUUGUUUUUCCAGAGCCAUGCUGAGUAGAGUAGGGUAUGCAAUGCAGGUACUGUAGCCGAUGGCAACCAAACACGCCCGUAGUGACUGUGGCUCGAUUGCUUUGAUGAGAGCGGAUAUGCCACAAGGCAUGAUGUGAUGGCGGCCCGGCUGCUUCAACGAUGUUGCGAAGACAUGUUUCAACAGACACGGCGAUGUAGCAAUGGCCUUCUUCGAACGAUCGUGGUGUGCUUCAACAACAUGCGCCGACAGACGCGGUAAUGCUACAACGGCAGCCUGGUUGCUUCGAUGAUGUUGCAACGGCGUGCUUCGACAGCCGCGGGGCUGCUUCGGCAGCCAUGGCGGCAGUGUUCUUUUUGAAGGGCCAUGGCAAUGCUACGAUGGCAAGCUUUUGACGACCGCCUGGCUACUUCGAUGUUGUAAAGGAGUGCUUCGAUGCCAUGGUGGAUGCUACGACAGCCGCGGCGGCGGCGUGCUUUGAAUGGCCACGUCGAUGUUGCGAUGGCGUGCUUCGAUGACCAUGGCAAUGUUGCGACGAAGGCUUGGCUGCUUCGAUGAUACUGCAACAAUGGUCCGGCGACUUUGACGAUGUUGCGUGGCGACGGCAAAGAUGUUAACGGGCCAAGCAUGCAUUGCUAUACAUGUGUAGCUAUAUAUGGCAAAGCACAUGUGAACAAGUAGGAGUAAGAAAAUGAGCAUUUAAAUUGACACAAAGAACGCUUAGCUCUCAGGCCCUGAGGCUGGAUACUGCCACGGCUACGUGGUCGUGAUGGUAUGGGUGUUGGGGAACGCAGUAAUUUCAAAAAAAUACCUACGCACACGCAAGAUCAUGGUGAUGCAUAGCAACGAGAGGGGGGAGUUUCGUCCACGUACCCUCGUAGACCGUAAGCGGAAGCGUUAUGAGAACACGGUUGAUGUAGUCGUAUGUCUUCACGAUCCAACCGAUCCAAGUACUGAACGUACGACACCUUCGAGUUCAGCACACGUUCAGCUCGGUGACGUCCCACGAACUCCAAUACAGCAGAGCUUCGAGGGAGAGUUUCGUUAGCACGACGGCAUGAUGACGGUGAUGAUGAUGCUGCCGACGCAGGGCUUCGCCUAAGCACCGCUACGAUAUAACCGAGGUGGAUUAUGGUGGAGGGGGGCACGGCACACGGCUAAAAGAUCAACUGAACAAUUUGUGUGUCCAUGGGGUGCCCCCUCCCCCGUAUAUAAAGGAGUGGAGGAGGGUGAAGGCUGGCCCUCUACUAUGGCGUGCCUUGGGGAGUCCUACUCCCACCGGGAGUAGGAUUCCCCCCUUCCAUGUAGUAGGAGUAGGAGAGAAGGAAAGGGAAAAGAGAAGAGAAGGAAGGAGGGGGCGCCGACCCUCCCCCUAGUCAAAUUCGGACUAGGCCUUGGGGAGGGGGUGCAGACUCCCCUCUCUCUUUCCCCUAAAGCCCAAUAAGGCCCAUAUACUCCCCGGUGAAUUCCCGUAACUCUACGGUACUCCGAUAAAUACCCGAACCACUCAGAACUUUUCCGAUGUCCGAAUAUAGCCUUCCAAUAUAUCGAUCUUUACGUCUCGAACAUUUCGAGACUCCUCGUCAUGUCCCUGAUCUCAUCCGGGACUCCGAACAACCUUUGGUACAUCGAAACACAUAAACUCAUAAUACCGAUCGUCAUCGAACGUUAAGCGUGCGGACCCUACGGGUUCGGGAACUAUGUAGACAUGACUGAGACUCAUCUCCGGUCAAUAACCAAUAGCGGAACCUGGAUGCUCAUAUUGGCUCCUACAUAUUCUACGAAGAUCUUUGUCGGUCAAACCGCAUAACAGUAUACGUUGUUCCCUUUGUCAUCGGUAUGUUACUUGCCCGAGAUUCGAUCGUCAGUAUCUCAAUACCUAGUUCAAUCUCGUUACCGGCAAGUCUCUUUACUCGUUCCGUAAUGCAUCAUCCCGCAACUAACUCAUUAGUCACAUUGCUUGCAAGCCUUAUAGUGAUGUGCAUUACCGAGAGGGCCCAGAGAUACCUCUCCGACAAUCGGAGUGACAAAUCCUAACUCGAUAUAUGCCAACUCAACAAGUACCAUCGGAGACACCUGUAGAGCACCUUUAUAAUCACCCAGUUAUGUUGUGCCGUUUGGUAGCACACAAAGUGUUUCUCCGGUAUUCGGGAGUUGCAUAAUCUCAUAGUCAGAGGAACAUGUAUAAGUCAUGAAGAAAGCAGUAGCAACAAACUAAAUGAUCAUCGUGCUAAGCUAACGAAAUGGGUCAAGUCAAUCACAUCAUUCUCUAAUGAUGUGAUCCCGUUAAUCAAAUGACAACCCAUGUCUAUGGCUAGGAAAUUUAAAUAAAAACAUAUUUUUGAGUAGUCAACGGUCAAUUGGUUAGACCGGUCAACUGCGGCUGGUCAACGCCACCAGGGGAAUACCGUUGCCCCUAGAGCGGUUAAUUCCACCGCAACCUGUUCCGCUCGAUGGCGCAUCGAAGCAUUCUCCUCCAUAUUGGGCCUGCCCACGAAGCUGUGCGCGUGAACGCCGGUUCCGCUCGCUUGCACUUAGGGCAUGUAUAAUAGUGCUAUCUUAGUAGUGACACAUAGGAUAAAUGAUGAGGUGGAGCAGAAAGAAGUCGUAAGAAAAUGCUUGCAUUUUCUUAUUUAAGAGAAGACAAGAGAUGAUCUCUUAGUACAAUAUGUCUCAUCAUGUUUUUAGGAAUAGCAAGUUAUUAAAGAUAAGGCUAAGAAAUGACUCAUCGUAUACACCAUUUUUAUCAUCUCUAAAUUACAUGUAAAACUAUUUUAUCAAUCAUUGUACAUGCCUAAGGCGCCCCUCUUCCGAGACCUCCUGUACAAGGCUUAUCGUGCUCAUUCUCCCAGCAACGCUGUAGCUCGGUUGGGCCGUGGCGCAGCGCUCGCUCACGUACACUGCCGCACUCGAUCAUGCACGAUGCCAUGUUCAACUCAAAAAAUGGACACGCACGCUGUCACCUGACUCACUGGCAUUUACCAUUGAUCGUGUACCCUUGACAGUUGACUUUACUAAAAAAUCAUAGAAUUUAAAGGAAAUAAGAAUUUGUAAAAAUAUAUUUUUCGAGAUUAAGACCUCAUUCGGGGGUUUGAUGAUCCUUCUUGAAUUUUGAAAAAGUAAUGCAAAUUGAAAAGGUCAAUGAAUUUAAAAAUAAUUCACAGAUUCGAAAAAAUUUAAUUUCAAAUAUGAUCAUAGAUUUAAAGAAGUUCGUGAAAGAAGUUCCUGAAGUUGAAAAAGUUUGUGAAUUUGAGAAAACAUUCAAGAAUGUUCAAUUUUUUGAGAAAAUCAUGGAGUUGAAAAAAAUGGAAUUGAAAAAAUAUUCUUGAAUUUGAAAAAUAUUUACGAAUUGAAAGAAGUUGGUGAAGAUAAAAAGUUUACGAAAUUGAGAAAACAUUGAAGAAUGUUCAAUUUUUUGAAAAAUCAUGGAUUUGAAAAAAGUUCGCAAGUAUGAAAAAGGUUUAAGGUUUUGGAGAAACUUCGUGCAUUUGAAAAUGUUCAGCAAUUUUUAAAAUAUUCACAACUUUGAGAAUAUUUCACCUAUUUCAAGAAUAUUCAUGGAUUUUUCAAAAAAAUACAGAACAUAGAAAAUAAAACAGAGAAAAACAAAAAAGGAAAAUAAAAAUAUGUAAAAAUGAAAAAAACUAAAAUAAAACAGAAAGAGGAAAGGACCAAAGAAAAUCUUGCCAAACAAAUGCAUAAAAAAUAACGAAAAUACACAAAGAAACCGUUCGGAAGCAUCGACAAGUUUCCCAAAAGAGAACUGUUACAUGGGCCAUCCCACCGAAACACACACUUGGGCAUUUUACCAAUCCUGGGAACAUUUUUCAAAUUGGUGAAUAUUUUUUGAAAUUUAGAACCUUUAUUAAAUUUUGGAACAUUUUUGCAAAUUCCUAAAAUUCCGGGAAUAGUUUUUUAAGAAAAACAUAAACAUUUUUUUGAAUUUACGGGACACUUUUGCAAAUUUGUGAUCAUUUUUUUAAAUCAUGAACAUUUUUAAAUCCAAUAAAUUUUUUAAAAUCAUUAAUAUUUUAUGAAAUCUUGCACAUUUUUUAAAUUUGUAAAAAAAUUUGGAAAUCCAAGAACGUUUAUCAAAUAGGUGAAUAUUUGUAUUUCAAAGAGUAUUUUUUUGAUUUGUGAAAAAAUUCAAAUCGGUUAACAUGUUUUUUAAUAACGAACAUGUGUUUUAAUUGUGAAGAUUUUUGUCCAAAACAUUGUCUCUUUUGAAAUGUGUAAGGUUGUUUAUGUCAUUAACACUUUUUUGAUAUUAGAUAAUUUUUUGAAUUCUUUGAAUAUACUUUAAAAUAGAGAACAUUUUUAAUUUUUUGAAAGUAUUUCUUACAUCCAAGAGCAAUUUUUAUAUUCGUGAAAAUUUCAAAUAUUCAAGCCCAUUUUGUGAAAUUCGCGAACAUUUUUGGAAUCCAAGAAAAUUUCUCAAAUUUGUGAUCUGUUUUCCAAAUCUAUGAUCAUUUUUUUCGAAUUUUUUUCAAAUUUAUGAACAUUUAUGGAAACAUUUUUUUAAGAAGCCGAAAGAGGUACCAAAAUGAAUAAGAAAUGGAAAAGAAAAAUGUGGGCGCCCUCCAAGAAAUUGACCGGCCAAAAUGUUGGGCGACUCCUGUCGCCCUAGGCGGGCAAUAGGAAUCGGCGGCGAGUGGAUCGUUAUAAUACGGAUGGGUCACACACUUGAUUGACAAAAAAAAUCCCAGACAGGUCACACACGGAAUUGUCAAUGUGUGACUCAUCUAUUUGGAGAAGAUCGUCAAAUGGCGGGCGCGGGAGCUAUAUCUUCCUGAUAGUGAGAUAGAACCUCCCCUCUAGGUUGAAGUUUUAAUGUGUGUCACAGUACUGGGCUGGCCCAUUUUUGCACGUUUAGUUUGUUCGCUUGAUGUCACUUGUAGUGUUCGCUUCAUUCGCUCUCUUGUUGGCAUUGUUUUCUGUGGGGUUUUUUCUCCCUUAUUUUUUUACUUUCUUCAGAUUAUUUGUUUAUUUAUUGGUUUUUAGGGCCUUUCUUUGUUUCUAUAUCAUUUUCCUUCAAUAUUCUGUUUUUCAUCGGUUUAAUUCACUUCAUUCAUGAUUUUUCAUGUUUUCUUUCUUUCUUGGUGCUCCCUGUUCUUCCCUUUUCCUUUCUUUCUUUCUUCAUUUUUUGUGUCUUUCCUCGCUUUCCUACGUUUCCUUCUUGGGUUUCUUUGGUUUUCAUUUUCUCUUUUGGUUUUGUUUUUUGGGAUUUAUUGGUUUUCUUUGUUUUUUGUCAAAUUUUAUCGGUUUCUUUUGUUCAAUUCAUGUAUACUUUUUCAGCGCACAAUAUAUGACAAACAUUUUUUUGAUACAUGUUAAAGAUUUUUCAAAUACCUGGCAUAUAAAUUUAUUUUAAUACCUGUUUUGAAUACGUUUUGGAAUAGAUGGUCAACAUGUUUUCGAGUACAUGUUGAACAUUUUUCAUGGUAAUGUAUUUUUUAAACUACAUGAACAUUGUUUUACUUUGUAUAAACAUACUUUAAUGUUUUAGGUACACAAUAUAAUUUUGAGUGCACAGUUUAAACAUUUUUUGAUACACGUUGAACAAUUUUCAAAUACACAAUGUACAUAUUCUUUUAGUAAUGUUUUGAAUACUCUUUGGAAUACAUGUUUAACAUUUUUUUGAAUAUACCCUGAAAUUUUUUAUGGUAUUAAAUAUAUUUUUAAAACUACGCGGACAUCGUUUUAUAUUGCAUAUGCAUUUUUAAAUGUUUUCAGUACAUAAUACAUUUUUAGAGCACACACGAAACAAUUUUUGUGAUACAUGUUGGACAUUUUUCAAAUAUACAAUGUACCUUUUAUUUUAGUACAUGUUUUGAAAACUUUGUUGAAUACAUGGUCAACAUUUUUCCAAAUAUAGGCAGGACA